rnacentral:lncRNA from 1 species
GAGAAAAUUAAAGCUUAAUACCUUCAGAAGUGGGGGGAGAGAAUAUCUGAAGUUUUUUUUUUUUUUUAAAUGACCUUUCCUUGCAUAAUUUCGGAGGUAACCUAGCUGCGUAAUUAUAUUUGCACUUACAGAACGCUGCAUCACAGUCCCCUUAUUGGUUUGAAAUUCCAUUAAAUAUAUUGCAGAGCUCCUAGGUUAAGCUUGAUUUAAAUUUGCAUACAUUUUCAUAUAUUUAGCAGAAAUAAAAGAAGGCUUGCAGCUAACCGAAAGUCAUUAAGGCAUUAAGUUCUCUAGGAAGACAGAUCAGGAGAAAAAUUCAAGAAAAUGAAAAUACCUCCUUAAACAAGGGAGAUUCAGUGCACUGAACUUGAUAUCAGCAUCACGUAUAAAGCAUAAGAUCCAGUUUCAAUCCAUUUUCUGUGAUAUACACAGUGGUUCUGAAGGCCUUGAGUGUCUACAAUACCAACCACUAUCAACUGUUCCAAGGUAAACAGGAAAAGGUCUCAUCCAUCUGCUCAAUCC